rnacentral:misc_RNA from 1 species
AAAAAAAAAUUAAAAAAAAAAAGAGAGAAUUUUGACAUGUUAAUCAAAUCAUUAGAAUUACCGAUAAAAAGGAAAAUUCACUAUAACUAUAGUUUUUACCUCAAACGUAUAUAUUUCACAAAUUAUACAACCAAAAAAAGAAAAGAUAUAUUCCCUUUGUUUCUGCCAAUAACAAACAUCGCUAAUGUCAAUGUACGCAGAAAACCAACACCACAUUUCGCUUUUUUCCUUUUUUUUUUUUUUUCAAUUUUCUCAUGUAGGUAUUAUACUGUGUUUGUUGUACCUUCAAUUUGAAGAAAACAAUAAUCCUGCAUUUGUUCUGUGCUUAGCUUUCCAUAUCUUUUCAGAUAUGUCUUACUUAAGUUGGAUAUAAUUGUAUAAUUGAAAGAAUUCAUUCAUUAUUCUUAUAGAAACCAU